rnacentral:rRNA from 1 species
AGGAUUAGAUACCCUGGUAGUCCACGCUGUAAACGAUGUCGAUUUGGAGGUUGUGCCCUUGAGGCGUGGCUUCCGGAGCUAACGCGUUAAAUCGACCGCCUGGGGAGUACGGCCGCAAGGUUAAAACUCAAAUGAAUUGACGGGGGCCCGCACAAGCGGUGGAGCAUGUGGUUUAAUUCGAUGCAACGCGAAGAACCUUACCUACUCUUGACAUCCAGAGAACUUAGCAGAGAUGCUUUGGUGCCUUCGGGAACUCUGAGACAGGUGCUGCAUGGCUGUCGUCAGCUCGUGUUGUGAAAUGUUGGGUUAAGUCCCGCAACGAGCGCAACCCUUAUCCUUUGUUGCCAGCGGUUCGGCCGGGAACUCAAAGGAGACUGCCAGUGAUAAACUGGAGGAAGGUGGGGAUGACGUCAAGUCAUCAUGGCCCUUACGAGUAGGGCUACACACGUGCUACAAUGGCAUAUACA